GUGUAUAUAUAUACACUGAAACAUUUUCCAGGCAAGACAGGAUUCCUGCUUGGUCUGUCAGCUUCGGUGGGUGCAGCAGUCGAGUUGAACUGUCCUGGUCUCCGCUUUCUCAGGUUCCUGAGGUGUUCCUCAAGGAAACCAGUAGAAAGAUGGUGGCGUCAUCCUUGGGUGUACCAAGCGUCCUUGAAGAUAAAAGACCCUUUGUGUUCAAUAUGGCUAGGAUUUGGUCAAACCUGUCAAAAAAUAUUUCACCUUCAAGGGCUCCAUUUCAGUGGAAAUAGUUGAGCUCCUGCAUGAUAGAUAAUGCAGUGAGUUUCCAAAUUAAAACCUAACUUACAGCCUUUACCCUCUGAAUACUUGAGGCAAAGAAACCGAUGUAGACAGUUUUGUCUCAGAUGUUGGGCUGAAAGAAAAGAGGGAUAAACAGAAAAGACAAAAAUAAAAGGUACAAUGUUUACUAAAGAAUCACAAACUCACAAUUCCCUUCACUAGGACCAUUAUUAAUGAUGUAACAACUGUAGAACACUCGUGUUUCUCCAAACCUCUUGAUGAGGUGUGAAAUCAACACCUGGACCAUGGGCUGUGUCUUCUUGAUUGAGGUUCAUGAGGGGCAGAUAGCCUAGUGAUUAAGAGCCUUGGGCCAGUAUUUACUUUGCCAUAGUUCUUCUCAAAGUAUUUUGUUUUCUGCAGUUUUUUUCAUAGAGGUCGCUGUUUGAAUACCCGAGCCGACUAGAUGUGCCCUUGAGUAAGGCACUUAACUCUAAUUGCUUAUUUAAGUCACUUUAGAUAAGAGUUUCUCCUAAAUGACAGAAAUGUAAAUGUGACGCAUAGCCCUCAAUUGAGGCUGGCCACAAUGGCUUUGUCCUUCAGUGUUGUCUAGUGGUUAGAGCAUUGGACUAGUACCUGAAAGGUUGCAAGUUCAAAUCCCCGAGCUGACAAGGUACAAAAUCUGUCGUUCUGCCCCUGAACAGGCAGUUAACCCACUGUUCCUAGGCUGUCAUUGAAAAUAAGAAUUUGUUCUUAAAUGACUUGCCUAGUAAAAUAAAGGAAAAAUAAAAAACAGUUCCAUUUGAGUCUUACAUAUGAUCUGCAGCUAAUAAGAGAACUUACAAAUAAUGCCACAACAGUCUAGUGUUGGUCCAACAGGUUCUGCUGGUAUAUAAUGCAGUGCCUUUAAAGAAGAAUAUAAAAUAGUAAUCAGUCACUGUUUCAUAUAGUCAUACUACAUGAUAUAUACAACCUACAACAGCCAUCCUGACAGCAUAAGGAAGUCACUGGAUGCCACAUUUUAUUUAUUUUUUAUUUAACCUUUAUUUAACUAGGCAAGUCAGUUAAAGAACAAAUUCUUAUUUACAAUGACUGCCUACUUGUAAAGCCUCCCCGGCCAAACCCUCCCCUAACCCAGAUGACGCUGGGACAAUUGUGCACCACCCUAUGGGACUCCCGAUCAUGUCCAGUUGUGAAACAACUAAUUGUUUUGCAGAGAAAGUUAUAGUCACUUGUAUUGGUAUAAGAUAUAAACUGAAAGUUGUAAAUAGUUUGUUUGGUUCAAAUUGAAAGACUAAUUCGUUCAACUUAAAAUAAGAACGAAGCGAAUUUUGAUGCAAGACGAUGUCUGUUCACUAAAUGAUCUGUUGGGAAUAAUAUAUUGGGAAUAGAGUCGUAAUUAAAAUGUUAAAUCAAAGACGGGACAGUAACUUAAAUCAAAUGAAUUCUGAAUAAUAACGGAGAAACAAUUACUAUAGAUUUGUGCCCAUCGAAAUGUUCUUAUAAAAUUACCGAAUUGGGAGGUGAGAGAUGUUGAUUGAUGUUGUAAAAUAUAAUUCAGGAUUCAACAGAUGUGAUAAAUUAGGUUUGGUUUAUCGAACCCGAAAUACUGUUGCUGCAGACAGCCAACAAUUAUUUACAAUUCAUUGAAAAUCGUUGCGAAUUGAGUCGAGGUUGAGCGCUUGUUGAUGACAUCACUCGCGAGGCACUUUUGUCGCCACGGACUGGGGGUAACGGAGAAAAUUGUUUGUGUCUUUUAGAAGGAAAAUGCGUGCAUUAUUGUUUUGAGUCACUUUUCAGAAGGUGAUAAAAAAGUCCAUAUACAUUUUUAAAAGGAGUAGGUGAGUCGUCAGAAAAGAUGAUAAAAACUAGCAGCUGAUUCGCUAGGUGGGCAUCAUUGAUUUGUGGCGUUUAUUUGGACUGUAAUUAGGCUAUGAGAAAGGGAGAUUGAAUGUCUGAAUCGUAAAACAUUGUGAUAAUGGAUUCUGAUGGUUAUUGAUUCCUGGUUUGAUUGUUUAUGUAACACCAGUGAAUUUGAGCACUGUUUCCAUUAUGGGGAACAAUGUUAAGGUAUUAAUGUUGAAAAGCAACCUCUAUAGUAAAACAUAAUUGCAUAUGUUUCGGGAAACUAGCUAGGUUGAAUUUGGUUAUUUGAGCUUUUCCCUUGAUACGUAGACAUCUGUAACAGGGGCAAGUUGGUUUUUCUUGAGGAACACGCAGAUGUUUUGUUUUAUUGAGAUGUAAACGUGAGUCUGAGUAAUUUUGUCAUCUGAAGCAUUAUAGUAGUAAGUUUUUGCUGAUAAAAGUGGUUUGUUAACUUGGUUACUGAAGAUUGGUUAUUAUAGGAGUUGAUUUAACUUAAUUAAGCAUUUGUUCUGGUGUGUUUAAGUAGGAUUCUUUAUACCGGGACGGAUGGAAGUUAUCUAAAAUAUGUGAGUUGAAGGAGGCAAGGGGAAAAUGCGUUUACAUUUUUAUUAAAUAUCUGGGAUUAAGUUACGGAUUUCUUACACUGAGAAAUGUACGACAUUUGCGGCAGAGGGAAAAAGUAAUACAUUGGAUAAUAAUGUUAUCGGGUUAAAUUGUAUCUAAGGAUAGCAUGUUCAUUUAAGUAAUCAUAUACAUUGACGUUGUUUAAAACUUAUGAUUAAUGAUUUGAGUGAAAUGGGAAUUAUCAUUAGGUUUAGUUUAUAGUUCACUUUUGAGGUUCUGAAUCGAAGUAGCAUAGUGAAUGCUAGUAAGGAGUGUUGUGUUCUUCUGGGAAAAUUGAUGUUUGGGUGUCUCAAUUUUGGAUGUUUCCUGGGAUUAUAAUCUUGGGGAGAAUGAGGCCAUAAACGACCAAAUUGAAAAAAGGCCUGGAAGUUUUGAUUAAUCAUUAAGGUUUGCAAAUAUAUACACAUAAAACAUUUGUUAGGACUAUUUGUUUUAGUGCAAAGGUAUUUUAAAGAGGCACGCUCACAUAUGGGACUUUAUGGGUUUUUAUUUUAUGAGUUUUAAUUACACAAGUGAAUUGAUUGAUUUUAAGGACAAAGGGUUCUUUAAUAUAUCUAAUGUAGUAUGGAACAUUACUAUACAAGGGUGGAAUGACCUAUUGACCUUAUCGUGACUAUCUUUUGAGGUCUGAUCAACCUCAGGGGAGAGUUGUUUGUAUAAUGAAUGUGGUCAUAUUGAGUUACUAGUUUUAAGGUAAAUUCAUUAUAAUGGAGUUUUGGUUAGGGGUUUAGAAUUAUUGUUUGAAUCACUGAAGAGAAAGUGUUUCAGGAUUCUGAUUUACAAUAUUAGCUAUGAAGUUUUUGAAUGGGCUAUUAUUGAUUUGGUAUUAUAACAGAGAGAAAAUAAAUCAUAUUUAUAAUUGAGAAUAAAUAGGGGAAGAUAAGAUACAUUGAGGUUUGGAUAGGAGAUAUAUUAAGCCAAUAGGGCAGGGAAUUACAUAGAAAAAUACGUUUCAGUUCUUAGGGGUGAUAAAUUACUGAAGAUAAGGUAUUCCACACUUGGCAACAUAUAUUACCUUGUUUGAUUAUUAGGAGUUUUUUUUAACUUUAUCUAAAAUGUAAGGACUUUAGAGAUUGCCACUCAGACAUGUUUUUUCUAAAAUCAAUGAUUUUAGAUAAAGUCAAACAGAAGCUUAGUGUUAUUUGAGAGAUAUGAGAGAAAGGGGUUACGGUUUAAAUUGGUAAAUAUAUAUAUUUAGGAAAGUAUAUGAGUAGCACAGAUACUUCUUAAAAGUAGAUAAGAAACUUGACAGGAAAUUGGUACAGGAUUGACAGGACAGGACAGGACAGCCCAAGGGAGAAUUGGACAUGUGGAAAAUUAAAAGGGCUCCUACAUGAUGAUGUCAGACAUAAGGAUAAUUUACUAAUCUUACCUAAGUUAUUGUUUAAGAGUAGGCAAGGUUGUUACCUGGGCAGAGCCAGGUAACAAAGGGGGGGAUGGGUAAAUUGUGUUCUAGGAUAGGAUGUGACCUACGGGAUAAUUAACUGAUAAAAAUAAUAAUUAUUAGCUCACAAGUAGGUAUAUGGGAAAGAUAGAACAAAUGAGAAACUGUUUGUUAACCAAACCUGUAUGUCCAAGAUUUUAUGCACUACAGGUGAAUUACAGGUGAAGUCACUCAAUCCAGUCCCUGAUGCCUGUUGGGGAGACCAUACGAAGGACUUCUGGUGACAGCUAGCAGAAAGACCUACCCGGAUUCAUAUCACACUGCGGGAGGGUAAGACACAUUGCCACUGUCAAACAAUAAGAGUUUGAGAGGAGAACUGGAAUUAACAGAAUUCUGGGGGCCAUCUCUCAAAUGAAAAAUACCUUACCUGUCCUUUCCUCACUGUUCUUGUUCAUAGAAGUGAAAAUGUGUCUGACUCUUGCUAAUGAUGUGUUUUCUGGAAGAGGGUGGGGCUUUAUAGGUGAGCUGUCCAUCCUAUGCUGUAUGGUUGGAGAUCUUAUUGCUGCACCAUGAACCCGAGAAGACCAGAGGGUAAUAUUGACAUAAUUAAACAAGGAGAAAUUAGUAUUAACCAAGCAUAAGAGAUCACUUAAUCUGGAUAAACAGGAAGUGUGAGUAGGAUAGGGAGGGAUGUCUCAGUGGAGUUCUAUAUAGACCAAGUGGUGUCUCUGACUCCUUGGCAGUUCAGGACUAAGAGUCGCUAUUAUGGAAGACAUCUAUGCAAGUCUCUGUGUGGUUCAUGGAAACAUGUUAUAGCUCACAUCAUGUGAGAAGGCUACAUAAAUCUACAUACCCAGCAUGGAAGGAGAUGGAGUGUAGUGAAAGUAAGGGUUUCAGUUGAUAACCUAGUGCAUUCCAGGUAGAAAAAGUUAGAGCAGCUGAUUGCUCUAUAGUCAGCAGAAUACAAGCAAAGUCCCUGACAAAGCAGAUACUGACUGUGGAGUUGUCCAGAGCCAAGAGCCGGUGUGGAUAGUUCAGAAAUUGAAUUAUUCACCUAAGGGGAAUAGCCUGUAUGGUAAAGCUAUUCAUGGAAGCAGGAAAAACCAGAUAAUAAGUUGUAUGGAUUUGCACUAUUUAUAUCCACAUGUUCCUCUGAAAUCGGAGUUUCCUCCUUUCAGAGGCAACGGGAGACUGUUUACUAUUUGAUUCAGUAUAGUACUCCUGAGAAAUAUGUGGGGCAAAAUUAGUACUGCAAUAGGACAGAUAAUGUUAUUUCUGAUGCGACCAAUGAGUGAUUUGGCAGGCUGGUUGAGAUCUGGGGAUUUCAGUAAGAUAAGGAGGCCCAGGGCUCACAUCUGUUGAUUGUGUGGGAAAAUGACAUGAUGGCCGAGUAUUACUGGCUAAUUGAACAGAGGUAUGUGUACUGGUACAUUUGAGAAUGUCUUUUACACUCAUUCAACACCAUGACAUGGUGUUGACUAAACGGGAGAAAAGAAGUACUCCCGACUGGGUCUUUUGAUGAUAGGGUUUGUAUUAAUAACAUUGUGGUUCCAAGGGUGGCAGAUGAGAUAAAAGCUAUAAAUUAGAUCCUGGUAGGAUUAGAGUCAAGUAUUUUUUGGUGGUCCACUCUCAAUGAGAAUGUGGAUUGGAUCAAUUAUAUCUAUUGAAAAUCCACAGCGCUUCACCAAUUAUAUUAGAGAUGUAAUGAAUGACUUGACAGAAUAGAAUAGUCUUGGAUGUUUGCUGGCUGAAGAGGGUGGGAGUGAAGGUAGUUUGACUCCGGGAUAUACAGUUGGGAUGGAUCAGUGACCAAGGCCUUGUCUGGUUUACACACCCUAGUUCACGAGUUGGAAAUUAACUCAGGGGUGGAUACUUCUCUGAAUAAUUGGGUUGACAGUGUGUUUGGAAGAUGGAAAAAUUAUGAUUACUGUGGUAUGGGCUACUUUCACCUGUGUGACUGUGUUAGUUUUGUACGGACGUGGUUGAUUGCGUGUAUGAAAGUUAUCAUUUCCAGGACUCGAUGACACUCAGAUGGAGAUAUAUGGACCAAUCCUAAGCUCUGACCAGUGGAAUACAAAAUAUAUGGCUUGGACGUAAUAGAAGAAUCCGGAUCCUUUCACUCGCGAGGAGACCAUAUUUGAUGUUUAGGAAAUUUAGAUGUUUUCUUGUUUCAAUGUAUAGACUGUUUUUUCAUGAAGAUUAACAGAAAAUCCUGACAAGUAGAAUUAAGAUUCUGAUGUAGGGUUAAAAACAGUUGGUGUUAAGGUUAGAUUUGAUUAAUGAUGGGUGAAGAGUCUGAUAAACAUUUAUAAUAAGGUUAGUUAAAGUUUAUUCAUAUUUUUAUUUUUUAUGUUUGAUAAAACUAGAUGUAGAUUUGAAUGUAUAAUAUUUAAUCAAAGGGAGGAUUUGUUGCAAAAACCUUACUCCCGUAGUUAUUUUAAAAGUAUGUAACUACUUAGAGGAAGGGUACCAAAACAUUUUGAAACUAAGAUAGGUAAAGACAACCACAUAUUACAGUCGCAUAUUUCAUUACUUAAAUAAUUUCUAAACAAAAACAAUAGCCUACAUAUUUCUGCAAAAAAUUAGCACGAGAUGGGAGUGAUUUUUAAAAGAAGGGACAGGAAAGUUCAGGGGUUAUAGAAGUGUUGCGGGAUCAAGACAGGACAGUACAGGAAAAUAAUUGACAGGACAAGACGGUAUAAAAUUAAUUUUCACUCCUCUAUGGAUUCUAAGGGGCUAAGGAAAUGAUUAAUUUCUACAACUGCAGCAACUGCAAAUUCUAUUACUGCAGCCGAAGCAUCACCGGAGUGGGUGCUUCACUGUCGGCAAUGGAGGAUCAGCUACCUACGGAGGAGAGGCUGCUAUGGAGGAUCAGCUACCUCUGGAGGAGAGGCUACAAUGGAGGAUCAGCUACCUCCGGAGGAGAGGCUACAAUGGAGGAUCAGCUACCUCCGGAGGAGAGGCUGCUAUGGAGGAUCAGCUACCUACGGAGGAGAGGCUGCUAUGGAGGAUCAGCUACUUACGGAGGAGAGGCUGCUAUGGAGGAUCAGCUACUUACGGAGGAGAGGCUGCUAUGGAGGAUCAGCUACCUACGGAGGAGAGGCUGCUAUGGAGGAUCAGCUACUUACGGAGGAGAGGCUGCUAUGGAGGAUCAGCUACCUACGGAGGAGAGGCUACAAUUUGAGGAUCAGCUACCUACGGAGGAGAGGCUGCUAUGGAGGAUCAGCUACCUACAGAGGAGAGGCUGCUAUGGAGGAUCAGCUACCUACAGAGUAGAGGCUGCUAUGGAGGAUCAGCUACCUACGGAGGACAGACUACUAUGGAGGAUCAGCUACCUAUGGAGGAGAGGCUGCUAUGGAGGAUCAGCUACCUACGGAGGAGAGGCUACUAUGGAGGAACUGGGAACGUUGGACAAAGAGAUGGGCCUUGAUGAAGACUUUCUCCCUGGCUGUACUGUACCAUCAAUACGCCAUCCACUCAACCCAUACUGACUUUUCCAAACUGCUUUAACUAAAUUAGUUUUCCAUCUUUAAUUUGUUGUUCAUUGAUGAAGUAUGUAUUUUGUUAACAAGAAGACCACAAUGGAAAUAAGUUUCAAAACGUUUUUUUUGUUAUCCUCGAUAGUUUGCAAAUGCAUUGUAUGGCCUAUUGAUUAACAAAACACAUUGUUUAUAUUAUUAUUAGUAUUGUUUUGUGUUAGAAUUGGCCAUUUACCUUGAAACAUCAUUAUAAUGUUAUUACAUUGUUGUGUCUCAAUUGGCCACGAGGCUAUAAACAGGAGCUAAGCACAUUGGUCAGCUUGAUGUCGAAACGUCAGUGACCUGCUUGCAUCCUGUACAAUGGAUUAAAAGUGGAACUGACAGAAUUUUAGAAACAUGAAAUCUUAUCAAAAUGUGUUCUUAUACACCCACAAGGAAGAAUAUGACACCCUUAUUUUUGUUAACUAUUUGACAAGUGAGCACUUAUAUAUGGUCAUUUUCAUGUUCUCAUAAAAUCACAUAAUGUUUGGAAAUUACAUCUGUUAGGAUGAAUUACAUAUGUUAUCUUAGUAUUUUUAAUGAUACAGACUUGUCUUGUGACUUAGUCAUAAAUCUGAGCGUACAGAUUUAUGAGCUGCUUGGGUGCGACCACAGUAUGUGACCUCCUGUGUUUACGAUCGGCAAGAAUUUAUCUAUGUGGGAAGUACAGGGAGGCACAGAGAGGGGUGACGAUAUCAGCUAUCUUGAUUUACAUUUACAUUUAAGUCAUUUAGCAGACGCUCUUAUCCAGAGGGACUUACAAAUUGGAUCUACACAGACAAGGAAAUUACUUUUUACAACUCUGUUCCCAGGGCCUGUUUCUGCACAUAUGCUAACUGUCACAAAGAUAAAAGGAUGUACUUUCUAUAAAAGGAUAAAGACAUCUCUGUUCAUUGUACUUUUCAACUCUCACUAUUCUUAGUGAUUGUUGAUUGCUUCAUUGUUGCAAAUCUUAUAAUAAAGUUGUUUUGAAGGAAUAGUCUUUCUCCUUUUGGUUAGAGAUUCCACAAAAAUUGGAGACGAGGAUGAGAUGGCUUACUCCGCUUGCUGAUUGAUCCCGGGGAGACAGAGGUUAACUGUGCGCAGGGGCUGGGUUAGAUGUGGCAGGGAGCCCCACACUCAGACUAAGUGGAGCAGGAUGGGGCCCGCCUCGGACCGGCAGGGAGCGUCAUUGAGUGGAUACGCCAUUCCGAACAUACAGAGUUAAGGGUGAGACUGAUUUUCUUAAACGCAACCUCCAAUUGGGGAAAGUUCUAGGAACUUUUAAUAUCCUGUUCUAAGAAAUUUUUGAAAAUCCUGUUAUAGGAAUAGGUCACGGUUUGGCGAUACCAGGACAGAAUCCUGAUGAAAGAGAUUCCAGAAUAAAAUCCUGAGGUAGUGUAGAGAUACCAGGGCAAAGUCCUGAAGAAAUAUGCCACGGGUUGCGAUCGUAAGUGUCACGACUUCCGCCAAAGUUGGCCCCUCUCCUUGUUCGGGCGUCACCGGUCUUCUAGUCAUCGCCGCUCCACCUUUCAUUUUCCAUUUGUUUUGUCUUGUUUUCCUGCACACCUGGUUUACGUCUCCUCAUAAUUACUAUGUGUAUUUAGCCCUCUGUUCCCUCCAUGUCUGUGUGGGGUAUUGUUUAUUAUCGAGAUUGGCAUGCUCCCGGCUGGUUAGUGCCAGGUUUACCUGUGUUUUGUGGGAGCCGGUACUUCAUACUUUGUUUGUGGUACUUUGUGCUGCCUUUGUUUUGGGCAUUUGGUAUUGGUGAAGCUGUUGCAUUCUGGUCUUACUACUUGCCUCAGUAAAGUACUUCGUGUUCACUCAUCUCUGCUCUCCUGCGCCUGACUUCUAUGCACCAGCUACACCCACCGUUGACAGUGAGAUGUAAAUGCAUGAGCUAUGGGAUUCCAGGACAGGAUCCUGAGGUACAAGUCAAAAAUAUUCCUGCAGGUUAGAAAAAUAUAAACAUUUAUUAAUCAGUGUACUGGUAAAACAGUUAAUUAUGAUUGGGAAACCAGCUAUAGAUUUAAAAAUACUUGGGAAAUUUGCAUAACUACCAUGUGGGUAUGAAAUGUAAAAUUACAUAGAAUAAAUAAAAAAUAAAUAACUCUCAUUUGAAUUAUAAGAAAGGGAGACAUUCCUAAUUAAAAACUAUGGGUUUUGUGUGUUUGUGUCUGAGUGUGUGUGUGUGUAUGUAUAGACAGAGUUUCAUAAUGGGAGCCAAAAGCAGUAAGGGUGACCCUUGUCUACCCGAUCCGUUGACUGGACUGGUGAAAAUAAUGGCGGCUAAGGGAGCAGGGACAUUCUGGAACAGGUACCGCUCUGGCACAAAGUAGCAGAUUUUACUUUAAAAAGGCACAUUGAGUGAAGUUUUAUUAGCAGAAUGUAGAAAGAAGUUACAGGGUGGGACAACAAGCACUACAGGAGAAGAACUUGGCUUGUUACAACUGUGGAAAAGAGGGACAUUUCACUAGAAAGUGUCCAAACCCAAGUGAGCCAGGGGCAGCAGGGGGAGGUUGGAAAAACGGACCUCCACCAAAAACCACCCUUUUUACAACCCAUAUAUGGACUGACGCCAGGUAGAGACAGUUGACACUCUUGGACAGCAUUUAAAGAUUUUUUCAAACCUCCGUGAGGAGCCGAGGGUUAGUCUAUUUCUCAAUGGUGAGUUUUUUGGGGCCUGCUCGCAGCACCAACUGUUAGGUUCUAAAUAAACAGAGUAAAAACUCACAGAUUAGUAAACUAGUAAAGCUCAAACCAAGUUUAUUCACCCACUGGGUCACACAGCUGCAUAAGACAAAGACAUUUACACAAUGUAAGGAGUCUCCUCCUUACACAUCUGAACAGCCAAUACAUCUCUGUUACUAGACAGGACUUGAGUGAUGCUUGUUCUUUCUCACUUCAUCUGACCUGACCUCAGCCCAAAUUCCUCACUCUUCCUCAACUCACGGCUGUCCUUUUGACUUGUACCAGACUGUGGCCCUUCUCCUUUUCAUAGAGGUCAGUCAUAUAUGGGAGUAAAUCGUUAGACUCGGUGCAAGAUAAAUGUUGUCGUGUCUAAGGGUAGUACAUGAUAAAUAAAGGACACAUAAACGUUAUGGUGGAUUAAAACAAAUGAUUAAUGAUUGGAGGGAGGACAGUGGACUUAUCAUUAUCCUGUUUUGUUUGUAAUUAAGACUUUUGGGUUGCUGAGAUGUAGCAUAGUGAAUACUAACAAAAUGUAUACUUUCUCUUCCAGGAGAGGAGGGGGUGUCAUUAUCUCGCUUUGAAAUGUUUCCAGAGACUGUGUCUUGGGAGAGCAGUUAGUGGAAUUCUGCAGUUUUAUAAGUAUAAAGAAAAAGCGUUCACUACGACCUCGUCUUUCACCACUCCUACCUGUGAUCUGAGUGCAAGCUGGCAUGAUUCCUGAGACCGUGCAUGUGGAGUGAGCAUGGAGGGAGAUCACAUCCAAACUUCGCUCAUGCUGCUGGUGUGCUGGUGGGAAAAAGGACCAGACAUAAUUGACUGUACAGAUUGACAGCUCAGGCUCUCAUGACUGUGCGGUCCUCUUGUAUGAGUAUGUCGGGAAGAAGACUGGACCUGCAGCAUACGGAGGUUCCAGACGCCUACAGAGGGAGAGGCAUUACCAAGGUGCCAUGGAUUUUGCUGUGGAAGAGGAUCUGAAGGCUCACCUGACCUGCUGGUACAUCUAGAAAUAAGUCAGAGAAUCCCCAACCUCAAUACCUGGAGCACAUCCACCCAAUGUGACCCUAUGAUAGAGAGUAGCGAAGAGAGACUGAGGUAGAAAGCAUGGGCUCAUGCUUUUGGUUUGUAGGGCUUUGUGCUCUGUUUUAUGGGGGUGGUAAGGGAGAGGGCAACUAUACUAGACAUAUCUCUACGGACAUAAAGACUUCCUGUUGGAGAGCAGUGGUAGAGGAACUGUCCGAGUGCCAUUGUCAUUACUUGCGGCCUGUCCAUGGGCAUGGACGUGUGUGUGUGUGU